rnacentral:rRNA from 1 species
UGAGGAAUAUUGCGCAAUGGAGGAAACUCUGACGCAGCGACGCCGCGUGAAGGAUGAAUGCCCUCUGGGUUGUAAACUUCUGUAGAGAGGGAAGAAUGUCCGCCUUCGGCGGAUUGACGGUACCUCUAAAGUAAGCAUCGGCUAACUACGUGCCAGCAGCCGCGGUAAUACGUAGGAUGCGAGCGUUGUCCGGAUUUACUGGGUGUAAAGGGCGCGCAGGCGGAAUGGAAAGUCAGUGGUGAAAUCCUACAGCUUAACUGUAGAACUGCCUUUGAUACUUUCAUUCUUGAGUUCGGGAGAGAGAGACGGAAUUCCAGGUGUAGUGGUGAAAUACGUAGAUAUCUGGAAGAACACCAGUUGCGAAGGCGGUCUCUUGGUCCGAUACUGACGCUGAGGCGCGAAAGCGUGGGGAGCAAA